rnacentral:rRNA from 1 species
GCUUACGGCCAUACCACCCUGAGCAUGCCCGAUCUCAUCUGAUCUCGGAAGCUAAGCAGUGUCGGGCCUGGUUAGUACUUGGAUGGGAGACCGCCUGGGAAUACCAGGUGCUGUAAGCU